ensembl:snoRNA U3 Small nucleolar RNA U3
AAGACUAUACUUCCCAGCAUCAUUGCUAUGGUUUAUUACUAGAAAAGUUUCUCCAACUUUGUAGAGCACUAGAAGCCAGAAAGAGGAGGAGCAGUGCCCUCUCUUUAGUGUGAAGCCAGCUUUGCUCUUCGGGAAGGAAUGCAGCCUGAGC